UUGAUCUCAAAUCAGGUAGGACUACCCGCUGAACUUAAGCAUAUCAAUAAGCGGAGGAAAAGAAACUAACAAGGAUUCCCCUAGUAACUGCGAGUGAAGCGGGAAGAGCUCAAAUUUAAAAUCUGGCGUGCCUCUGGCCGUCCGAGUUGUAGUCUGGAGAAGCGUCUUCCGUGUUGGACCGUGUAUAAGUCUCUUGGAACAGGGCGUCAUAGAGGGUGAGAAUCCCGUCUUUGACACGGACUACCAAUGCUUUGUGAUGCGCUCUCAAAGAGUCGAGUUGUUUGGGAAUGCAGCUCAAAAUGGGUGGUAAAUUCCAUCUAAAGCUAAAUAUAGGCGAGAGACCGAUAGCGAACAAGUACCGUGAGGGAAAGAUGAAAA
rnacentral:rRNA from 1 species